rnacentral:rRNA from 1 species
GAUGAACGCUGGCGGCGUGCUUAACACAUGCAAGUCGAACGGAAAGGCCAGUGCUUGCACUGGUACUCGAGUGGCGAACGGGUGAGUAACACGUGGGUAAUCUGCCCUGUACUUCGGGAUAACCUUAGGAAACUGGGGCUAAUACCGGAUAGGACAACUUUUUGGAUAUUGUUGUGUAAAGCUUUUGGGGUGUGGGGUGAGCUCGCGGCCUAUAAGCGUGUUGGUGGGGUAAUGGCCUACCAAGGGGUCGACGGGUUUACGGCCUGGGAGGGUGUACGGCCACCAUGGGACUGGGGUUCGGCCCAGGCUCCGACGGGGGGCAGCAGUGGGGAAUUUUGCACAAUGGGCGCAAGCCUGAUGCAGCGACGCCGCGUUGGGGAUGAAGGCCUUCGGGUUGUAAACUCCUUUCGCUAUGGACGAAGCCUAAGUGACGGUACCUGGAUAAGAAGCCCCGGCUAACUACGUG